rnacentral:rRNA from 1 species
CAGCCGCCGCGGGAAUACAGAGGGUGCGAGCGUUAAUCGGAUUUACUGGGCGUAAAGCGUGCGUAGGCGGCUUUUUAAGUCGGAUGUGAAAUCCCUGAGCUUAACUUAGGAAUUGCAUUCGAUACUGGUAAGCUAGAGUAUGGGAGAGGAUGGUAGAAUUCCAGGUGUAGCGGUGAAAUGCGUAGAGAUCUGGAGGAAUACCGAUGGCGAAGGCAGCCAUCUGGCCUAAUACUGACGCUGAGGUACGAAAGCAUGGGGAGCAAACAGGAUUAGAUACCCGCGUAGUCCCUGUAUCUUAUAA